ensembl:lncRNA
UGGGAGUCUGGGCGGGGACACUGAGCUGCGGGACAGAAGCCCUGACUCUCCCAAGUCAGGGGGAGGGGGGCUGGCUAAGUCAAAUCAGAGGGUGGAGGGUCCACCCGGACACCCCAGGUAAGCCGUUGUCUGGGGUCCCAAGGUGACCGUUCUCAAGCCCAUCCCCCGGGAGGCUGGAGCCCGGGGCGGGCCGGCUACCCAGGGGCGCAGGCCCCGCCUCCCCGGGCUCGGCGCUCGCGGCCCGGGUGGGGAGGUCAUUAUCUGGCGCUCCCAGGCCUGCGCGGCUCACGUGGCCGCGGCUCAGAGCCUCCCGGGUCCCAGGGCCGCUCAGCUCGCGAGGAGAUAAGCUCCGGCGCCCCCAGUGCGUGUCCGGCGCGGGCCGGCCGGGGCUCCAGGCCCCCACCCCGCCCCUCGGGCCGGCUCGGCCCACUUGGCCCAGCUUCCUCUCCAUAAAAGACCGCCACCCGGAGCGGGCUUCCCGCUCCAAACCGGACCCCCUGGAGUCUCCCCGUUGUGCACGUGAACUCAGUGAGGCCCGCAGCGUGGCAGGGCCGGGGGCGGGGGCGGGGGCGGAAGAACUGCUGGAAACGCCAGCGUGCCCCAGGGUCAAGCUGCGACGCAGGUGCGAACAGAGAGCUAUUUCGUGCCGGGCCUCUGUGCGUUCUGAUACCCCUAGGAUUGGGGUACCCGCUCCCAGACGUCCUUCAGUGCCUUGCCAGUUAGCUCCCCAGACCCGAGCCUCACAGCCUCAGUUUCCCAUCUGUUAAAUGGGGAGAUGGUUUUCAUCUCCUGAGUUUGUGCAGAUGUAAAGUACAACAGCCAGCCGGCGCAGGUGAAGGGGGAGGGAGGGGGAGCUGCUUCUGUCCCCUAGUCCCAUCCCCACCCGGCCCCCGAGAGAGCCCUGGGGUUCGCGGACCUAAACCCGCACUCAAAGGACUGCUGGGAGGCCGAGAAAUCUGGAGGCCGGGAGACAAACAGUGAAUGCUUAAUAAAUGCAGCUCCGCGCCCUUGGAGGUGUGAGUC